UGAGGAAUAUUGGUCAAUGGGCGAGAGCCUGAACCAGCCAAAUCGCGUGAAGGAAGACUGCCUUAUGGGUCGUAAACUUCUUUUAUACAGGAAUAAAAAAGGGGACGUGUCCCUUAUUGCAUGUACUGUAUGAAUAAGCAUCGGCUAACUCCGUGCCAGCAGCCGCGGUAAUACGGGGGAUGCGAGCGUUAUCCGGAUUUAUUGGGUUUAAAGGGUGCGCAGGCGGGCUUUUAAGUCAGCGGUGAAAUCUCGGGGCUUAACUCCGAAACUGCCGUUGAAACUGGGAGUCUUGAGGUAUGGAUGAAGUAGGCGGAAUUCGUUGUGUAGCGGUGACAUGCUUAGAUAUAACGAGGAACUCCGAUUGCNUAGGCAGCUUACUAAGCCAUAACUGACGCUCAAGCACGAAAGCGUGGGGAUCAAACAGGAUUAGAUACCCUGGUAGUCCACGCCGUAAACGAUGAUUACUAGUUGUAUGCGAUAUACCGUAUGUGACUAAGCGAAAGCGAUAAGUAAUCCACCUGGGGAGUACGCCGGCAACGGUGAAACUCAAAUGAAUUGACGGGGUCAUAGCUGUUUCCUG
rnacentral:rRNA from 1 species